GCCUGAUGCAGCUAUGCCGCGUGUAUGAAGAAGGCCUUAGGGUUGUAAAGUACUUUCAGCGGGGAGGAAAAAAAUAAAACUAAUAAUUUUAUUUCGUGACGUUACCCGCAGAAGAAGCACCGGCUAACUCCGUGCCAGCAGCCGCGGUAAUACGGAGGGUGCAAGCGUUAAUCAGAAUUACUGGGCGUAAAGAGCGCGUAGGUGGUUUUUUAAGUCAGGUGUGAAAUCCCUAGGCUCAACCUAGGAACUGCAUUUGAAACUGGAAAACUAGAGUUUCGUAGAGGGAGGUAGAAUUCUAGGUGUAGCGGUGAAAUGCGUAGAUAUCUGGAGGAAUACCCGUGGCGAAAGCGGCCUCCUAAACGAAAACUGACACUGAGGCGCGAAAGCGUGGGGAGCAAACAGGAUUAGAUACCCUGGUAGUCCAUGCCGUAAACGAUGUCGACUUGGAGGUUGUUUCCAAGAGAAGUGACUUCCGAAGCUAACGCAUUAAGUCGACCGCCUGGGGAGUACGGCCGCAAGGCUAAAACUCAAAUGAAUUGACGGGGGCCCGCACAAGCGGUGGAGCAUGUGGUUUAAUUCGAUGCAACGCGAAAAACCUUACCUGGUCUUGACAUCCACAGAAUUCUUUAGAAAUAAAGAAGUGCCUUCGGGAGCUGUGAGACAGGUGCUGCAUGGCUGUCGUCAGCUCGUGUUGUGAAAUGUUGGGUUAAGUCCCGCAACGAGCGCAACCCUUAUCCCCUGUUGCCAGCGGUUCGGCCGGGAACUCAGAGGAGACUGCCGGUUAUAAACCGGAGGAAAGUGGGGACGACGUCAAGUCAUCAUGGCCCCUUACGACCAGGGCUACACACGUGCUACAAUGG
rnacentral:rRNA from 1 species